rnacentral:rRNA from 1 species
UACGGAGGGUGCAAGCGUUAAUCGGAAUUACUGGGCGUAAAGCGCGCGUAGGCGGUUUGAUAAGUCGAUUGUGAAAUCCCCGGGCUCAACCUGGGAAUUGCAGUCGAGACUGUCAGACUAGAGUGUGGGAGAGGGUGUGGAAUUCCCGGUGUAGCGGUGAAAUGCGUAGAUAUCGGGAGGAACAUCAGUGGCGAAGGCGACCGCCUGGCCCAACACUGACCGCUGAGGUGCGAAAGCGUGGGUAGCAAACAGG